rnacentral:lncRNA from 1 species
CCCCAUCAUACCUGGAUGGCUAGCGGAGCCUCUUGUUUUCUUUAACUUCAUUCUGUCAAUCCAACCAAUCUGCCUCUAGUGUAGAACCCCCACAGGAUUGACUGUUCUUAAUUAUGUUACAUUUAAUUAUCUUUAAUGCUAAGAAGACCUUUUAGUUCAUCACUGUUCCAUCCUACUGUUUAAAAGUAGGGUUCUAUAGGAGGUGCUUUAAAGGAUCAAGCCGUAAUUAAAACUCUUAGCUUUUAAGCUUUGAUUAACUGUAGGCCUAGCUGACUAUGGAUACUAGCCUACAGUUUCUCUAAACCUACAAUUCCAUAGGCCUUGAUUUUAUAUGUGGAUAAGAAAUUCUUAGCAAAGGCAUUCUAUCAUUCCUGA